GAGACUCUGUGCGCGUGCAUAUCAAUAAGCGGAGGAAAAGAAACUAACAAGGAUUCCCCUAGUAACGGCGAGUGAAGCGGGAAGAGCUCAAAUUUGAAAUCUUCAAGGGUUUCCCUUUACGAAUUGUAGUUUAAAGAAGUGUUUUCUGUUGGAGUUUCGGUAAAAGUUCUUUGGAAUAGGACAUCAUAGAGGGUGAGAAUCCCGUAUUUGACCGUUACUUUCCAGCUGUGUGAUACACUCUCAACGAGUCGGAUUGUUUGGGAAUGCAGUCCAAAAUGGGUGGUAAAUUUCAUCUAAAGCUAAAUAUUGGCGAGAGACCGAUAGCGAACAAGUACCGUGAGGGAAAGAUGAAAAGAACUUUGAAAAGAGAGUUAAACAGUACGUGAAAUUGUCAAAAGGGAAGCGUUUGACACCAGUGUUGUUUUUCCGAAAAUCAAUUACGAAUGUUUUGUUUUUGAGAAGUUAUGACUUCAUCGGCUUGCUCCUUUCUUUACGAAACUUUCUUAAUGCACUUUUCGGUUAACAAGUCAACAUCAAUUUCUUUUGUUGUAAAAGAGGUCAUUGAGGAAGGUGGCUUUUCUUUCGGAGAAAGUGUUUAUAGCCUUUGUACCUUCUGCAAUCGGAGAGAUUGAGGUCUGCAGCGUAGAUCCUUCGGGGUUAGAUACAGUUUGUGCUAAGCUAUAGUUCUUUAUAGACAACUUGUUGACUAUAGUCAUCCUGUAGCUUACUCGCUUAUGCUAUUUUACCUACGCUUAGGAUGUUGAAGUCAUCGUAUCGCGC
rnacentral:rRNA from 1 species